GCCAGGUAGGGUGGCUCAUGCCUGUCAUCCCAGCGGCUCAGGAGGCUGAGGCAGGAGGAUCACAAGUUGGAGGCCAGCCUCAGCCACUUAGCAAGGCCCUAAGCAACUCAGUGAGACCCUGUCUCUA
rnacentral:sRNA from 1 species